AACGGAGAAAAAAUGUCUCCUCCCCUUUUCCUCUCCACGUAUACUCCUCCUAUUCCCUCCCACCUUCUCUCAAUCUCUGUCCCUCCCUCUCUCCUCUACUUCAUUCCUACCCUGCCUGCAUGUAUGCACACUCGCACACACGCGCGCGCGCGCACACAUAGAUACACACACGAUGACUGAUGCCUUCGCCCUCCUUCUCUUGCCUUCUCCGUUUUCUCAGCUCUCUCUGCACCACUGAGACUUUUGUGUGUGUUUGUCCUCUCGGUGCAGCGUAUGGUGGAACCGGUUCUGCGCAGCUUCCAGCACAUGCUAUACCCCAGCCACAAACUGAGCAGCAACAGCAGCAGCAGCAGCUCCAGCUCCAGCUCCUCCUGCCUCUCACUUUCCUGCUUGUGACUUUGAUCUGCUUGCCUUUCCCUCUGGUACUUUUCCUCAAACCGUUGAUUUCCUUUGUCCAUAAGGCACGUUUCCCUUUCAAAGUCCCGAGUGUGGACAGGGCGAGGGAAAGAGAAAUCGUGUCCGCGGAAAGAGGAGAUGAGGCAACAGCGAAUAAAAUGUGACGAGGCUGGAGUGAAAUAGAGAUGCAAGGCUGCAAGUCAAGGGGGAGAGCACUAACUCAAGAGUGAGGAAGAGGGGACAGAGAGAAGGAAUCAAGUUGGAAUCAGGAGAGAAACGCAGGAAAAGCCACCCUCUGCUUCAUGUCUGAGGAACACCUGGCACACUUUGACGAGGGAGUAAUCUCAAGCACUGUGUGUUCGUGACAGCAGCCCUGCGGAGACAAAAGGUGAGGAGCUGUAUAGAUGUCGGUGUUAGUCAGGUAGGUAGGUAGAGAACAGAAUAAUAGAAUCAAUACUAUUGUCUGUAACCUACCUGCCGCUGGGCUCUCUGUCUGGCCCCGGCAUAGACCGACAGAGAGAGAGAGAGAGAGAGAGAGAGAGAGAGAGACAGAGAAAGAGAGAGAGAGCUGAGAGGAACCACAGAAUCACUCUGACCAGGAAAGAAAAGAAAUGAAGAGGCUGACUCUAAGGUGAACUGAUGUCUUCAGUGCCCUCUUUGUCCUGCUCUUCAUCUUUGUCUUCAUAACCAUCGAAAACUAAUUUAAUCUUCAAUGGGAGUUGUGGAGUUUUAAACAGUCAUACUUCAGAAAAUGAUCAAGAACUACAGAUAAGUGUCCCUGUCUGUGCUGCAUAUGCAAAACCAGAAGACCAGUCGGUGCCGCAGAAUCCAAAUGUCAGAUGAGGUCAUGUCUUUGUCUCGGUGCAGCGAAACAACCGCUCUGCGGUUCUUAUUUUUAUAAAUAUAUUUCAUCUCAACCCUGCCUUUUUGUACUUUAACUUGCUCUUUAUUUAAAUCCUCCCUGUGUAUUUUCAGUUCACAGUAUGCCCCUCUGUCCCUGAGACCCUUAACCUGUGAGGUCAAAGCAGGUCACAGGUGAGGUCCUCGGGAACAGGGCUGCAUUCAGUUUCAGCGUCCUACGAAAAAGAAGCAUUUUAUCAAAUACUUUCCCAACUUAAACGUCUGCUUUAAUAUUUGAUAUUUCCUUUUGUAUUCUCAUCAUUCUUCUAAACCAUUUUAAACACGAGAAAAGCCUCAGAUGAUAGAAUGUCACAUUUCCGUCUGGCUCUGGCUAGUAUGCAGCUGUAUGUCCCCAGACUGUUACAGUAUGUUUACCUGUCAUGUCAUGAUCAAGACUUGUCAGGUUGGAUGAGAACGUAAUGAUGAUCCCUCCUCCUGCAGCACAGACAAGUCUCAGGGGGCCAACCCUAUUGGCUGGCUUCGUGUUAUAGCCCUCAAUGGGGGCCAAUAGGAAGACAGCCGAGGGUUGUGACCCCGUCAUAUAUGUCACCUUCAAAAAUCUGUGGAUUUAUUGGUAUGUCAUGUGCGUCAUUGUCCUGAUAAAAUGUCCUGUUUUGUACAUCUGUACCUUAAUAAAAGAUGUCAAAAAAGUA